GUAACGGCGAGUGAAGCGGCAACAGCUCAAAUUUGAAAUCUGGCCUCUUCGGGGUCCGAGUUGUAAUUUGUAGAGGGUGUUUCGGGCGCGAUGCCGGUCUAAGUUCCUUGGAACAGGACGUCGUAGAGGGUGAGAAUCCCGUAUGCGACCGGCGAUCAAGCCCGUGUGAAGCCCCUUCGACGAGUCGAGUUGUUUGGGAAUGCAGCUCAAAAUGGGUGGUAAAUUUCAUCUAAAGCUAAAUAUUGGCCGGAGACCGAUAGCGGACAAGUAGAGUGAUCGAAAGAUGAAAAGCACUUUGGAAAGAGAGUCAAACAGUACGUGAAAUUGUUGAAAGGGAAGCGCUUGCAAUCAGACCGGUCCGGAGGCGAUCAGCCGCUGCUCGUCAGCGGUGCACUCGCCUGCGAUCCGGCCAGCAUCGGUUCGGGCGGCGGGACAAAAGUCCCGGGAAUGUAGCUUCUUUCGGGGAGUCUUAUAGCCCGGGUCGCAAUGCCGCCCGCCCGGACCGAGGACCGCGCUU
rnacentral:rRNA from 1 species